rnacentral:rRNA from 1 species
GACGAACGCUGGCGGCGCGCCUAACACAUGCAAGUCGAACGAGCGAGAGAGAGCUUGCUUUCUCAAGCGAGUGGCGAACGGGUGAGUAACGCGUGAGGAACCUGCCUCAAAGAGGGGGACAACAGUUGGAAACGACUGCUAAUACCGCAUAAGCCCACGGCUCGGCAUCGAGCAGAGGGAAAAAGGAGCAAUCCGCUUUGAGAUGGCCUCGCGUCCGAUUAGCUAGUUGGUGAGGUAAUGGCCCACCAAGGCGACGAUCGGUAGCCGGACUGAGAGGUUGAACGGCCACAUUGGGACUGAGACACGGCCCAGACUCCUACGGGAGGCAGCAGUGGGAAUAUUGCACAAUGGGGGAAACCCUGAUGCAGCGACGCCGCGUGGAGGAAGAAGGUCUUCGGAUUGGUAAAACUCCUGUUGUUGAGGAAGAUAAUGACGGUACUCAACAAGGAAGUGAACGGCUAAACUACGUG